GCUCAGGACGAACGCUGGCGGCGUGCUUAACACAUGCAAGUCGAGCGGUAAGGCCCUUCGGGGUACACGAGCGGCGAACGGGUGAGUAACACGUGAGCAACCUGCCCCUGACUCUGGGAUAAGCGGUGGAAACGCCGUCUAAUACCGGAUACGACCUUCCGCCUCAUGGUGGAGGGUGGAAAGUUUUUUCGGUCAGGGAUGGGCUCGCGGCCUAUCAGCUUGUUGGUGGGGUAACGGCCUACCAAGGCGAUUACGGGUAGCCGGCCUGAGAGGGCGACCGGCCACACUGGGACUGAGACACGGCCCAGACUCCUGCGGGAGGCAGCAGUGGGGAAUAUUGCGCAAUGGGCGAAAGCCUGACGCAGCGACGCCGCGUGGGGGAUGACGGCCUUCGGGUUGUAAACCUCUUUUACCACCAACGCAGGCUCCGGGUUCUCUCGGGGUUGACGGUAGGUGGGGAAUAAGGACCGGCUAACUACGUGCCAGCAGCCGCGGUAAUACGUAGGGUCCGAGCGUUGUCCGGAAUUAUUGGGCGUAAAGAGCUCGUAGGCGGCGUGUCGCGUCUGCUGUGAAAGACCGGGGCUUAACUCCGGUUCUGCAGUGGAUACGGGCAUGCUAGAGGUAGGUAGGGGAGACUGGAAUUCCUGGUGUAGCGGUGAAAUGCGCAGAUAUCAGGAGGAACACCGGUGGCGAAGGCGGGUCUCUGGGCCUUACCUGACGCUGAGACGCGAAGACGAC
rnacentral:rRNA from 1 species